GCCUGGUAGUGGGGGACAACGUUUCGAAAGGAACGCUAAUACCGCAUACGUCCUACGGGAGAAAGCAGGGGACCUUCGGGCCUUGCGCUAUCAGAUGAGCCUAGGUCGGAUUAGCUAGUUGGUGAGGUAAUGGCUCACCAAGGCGACGAUCCGUAACUGGUCUGAGAGGAUGAUCAGUCACACUGGAACUGAGACACGGUCCAGACUCCUACGGGAGGCAGCAGUGGGGAAUAUUGGACAAUGGGCGAAAGCCUGAUCCAGCCAUGCCGCGUGUGUGAAGAAGGUCUUCGGAUUGUAAAGCACUUUAAGUUGGGAGGAAGGGUUGUAGAUUAAUACUCUGCAAUUUUGACGUUACCGACAGAAUAAGCACCGGCUAACUCUGUGCCAGCAGCCGCGGUAAUACAGAGGGUGCAAGCGUUAAUCGGAAUUACUGGGCGUAAAGCGCGCGUA
rnacentral:rRNA from 1 species